UCAUUUCAUUUAGUUGUUUCUUCUGCAGCAUUGACCGUCCCAAAUGUUUUAACUGCUUCAUCCGCCACUUCUGCUGUUGCAUCGGCAUCAUUAGUCUCUUCAGAUAUCAAUGAAGUAUCAACUCUAAGGCAACAGAUUGGUAAGCAAAAAUAUAUCAUAUGUUUUUAUCUCCCCAAAGCUUGGUAGGCUGUUAAAGUUAAGGAUGCUACUUGCUACUUUAAUUGUGGUUGCAUCCCUUCCUCAACUU